rnacentral:rRNA from 1 species
CGCGUAGGUGGCCUGACAAGUCAGUGGUGAAAUCCCAUCGCUCACCGAUGGAACUGCCGCCGAUACUGUCGGGCUUGAGGACAGUAGGGGAGAGUGGAACUCCUGGUGUAGCGGUGAAAUGCGUAGAUAUCAGGAGAACGCCGGUGGCGAAAGCGACUCUCUGGGCUGUUCCUGACACUGAUUCGCGAAAGCUAGGGGAGCAAACA